GAUGAACGCUGGCGGCGUGCCUAAUACAUGCAAGUCGAGCGAACAGAUAAGGAGCUUGCUCCUUUGACGUUAGCGGCGGACGGGUGAGUAACACGUGGGUAACCUACCUAUAAGACUGGGAUAACUUCGGGAAACCGGAGCUAAUACCGGAUAAUAUUUCGAACCGCAUGGUUCGAUAGUGAAAGAUGGUUUUGCUAUCACUUAUAGAUGGACCCGCGCCGUAUUAGCUAGUUGGUAAGGUAACGGCUUACCAAGGCGACGAUACGUAGCCGACCUGAGAGGGUGAUCGGCCACACUGGAACUGAGACACGGUCCAGACUCCUACGGGAGGCAGCAGUAGGGAAUCUUCCGCAAUGGGCGAAAGCCUGACGGAGCAACGCCGCGUGAGUGAUGAAGGUCUUCGGAUCGUAAAACUCUGUUAUUAGGGAAGAACAUACGUGUAAGUAACUGUGCACGUCUUGACGGUACCUAAUCAGAAAGCCACGGCGAACUACGU
rnacentral:rRNA from 1 species